AGCCGCAACCCUCGCCUCUAGUUGCCAGCAUUCGGUUGGGCACUCUAGAGGGACUGCCGGCGACAAGUCGGAGAAGUGGGGAUGACGUCAAAUCAUCAUGCCCCUUAUGACCUGGGCUACACACGUGCUACAAUGGGCGGUACAAAGGGCUGCGAACCCGCGAGGGGGAGCGAAUCCCAAAAAGCCGCUCUCAGUUCGGAUUGCAGGCUGCAACUCGCCUGCAUGAAGCCGGAAUCGCUAGUAAUCGCGGAUCAGCACGCCGCGGUGAAUACGUUCCCGGGCCUU
rnacentral:rRNA from 1 species